rnacentral:lncRNA from 10 species
GCUGUAUGAAAGAUGGCGGCCUCCUUUGGCGCUUUCCUCCGGGCGCUACCUGGAUCCUUGACGUCAUAGGCCAUGCUCUAGGAAAAUCUUUUUAGGUUUGACAACCUGGAGAUGUAUUUGUGUAGAAAGUCUCUUGGAACUGAUAGGACUUACAGAGAUUAUAGUGGGUUUCAAAAGAAAAAAGAACUGAGGGGUUGGGCGCGGUGGCUCACGCCUGUAACCCCAGCACUUUGGGAGGCCGAGGCAGGCGGAUCACUUGAGGUCAGGAGUUCGAGACCAGCCUGGCCAAGAUGGUAAAACUCCGUCUCCAUUAAAAAUACAAAAAUUAGCCGGGCAUGGUGACGCGCGCCUGUAAUCCCAGCUACUAGGGAGGCUGAGGUGGGAGAAUCGCUUGAACGCGGGAGGCGGAAGUUGCAGCGAACCGAGAUCGCGCCACUGCAUUGUAGCCUGGGCUACAGAGAGAGACUCUGUCUCAAAAAAAAAAAAGAGUCUGGAAAAGGAGUAGGUCCAGAUCCAGGAGUACUCUGCAGUGCCAUACCAAAGAAUACAUGUGAGCUUUAAAAGAACCCUGGCUACAACAUGGAGAAAAGUUUGGGAAAGGAGAGAGCCUAGAGAAAAAAGACCAGGCCGGACACGGUGGCUCAGGCCUGUAAUCCCAGCACUUUGGGAGGCCAAGGCGGGCAGAUGGCUUGAGUUCAGGAAUUCAAGACCAGCCUGAACAACAUGGUGAAACCCUGUGUCUACAAAAAAUACAAAAAAUUAGCUGAACGUAGUGGCUCGCACCUGCAGUCCCAGCUACUUGGGAGGCUGAGGUGGGAGGAUUGCUUGAGUCCAGGAGGCAGAGGUUGCAGUGAGCUGAGAUAGCGCCACUGCACUCCAGCCUGUGCAACAGAGGGAGAUCCUGUCUGGAAAAAAAUUAAAGAAAAACGACCAGUUAGGCGCUUUGGUACAACUCCAGCUGAGAAACAAAUGUCAGAAAAAGAUUUUAAAAAUGUAAAAAGAGGACAGGCGCGGUGGCUCACGCCUGUAAUCCCAGCACUUUGGGAGGCCGAGGGGGGUGGAUCACGAGGUCAGGAGAUCGAGACCAUCCUGGCUAACGGUGAAACCCUGUCUCUACUAAAAAUACAGAAAAUUAGCUGGGCGUAGUGGCGGGCGCCUGUAGUCCCAGCUACUUGGGAGGCUGAGUCAGGAGAAUGGUGUGAACCUGGGAGACAGAGCUGGCAGUGAGCCGAGAUCGCACCACUGCACUUUAGCCUGGGCGACAGAGCAAGACUCCGGCUCAAAAAAAAAAGUAAAAAGAGGAAAUUAGCCGGGUGUGGUGGCACACGCCUGUAGUCCCAGCUACUCAGGUGGCUCAGGUGGUCAAGAGACCAAAAUUGCUUGAACCCAGGAGGCAGAGGUUGUAGUGAGCUGAAAUUGCACCACUGCUCUCCAGCCUGGGCUACAGAGCAAGACUCUGUCCUCUAUAUAUAUAUGGAAAAUAAUUCUUUAAUGACUAACCAGAGGUAAAGACAGAGAUGAAGGAGUCACAGAUGUCUUGGGUGGCUAUCGUAGCACUUUUUUUCUCUAAGCUAGGAAACACAGAGCAGUGUGGGUGAGACAGGAAAGAUGAGUUCAUAUGUAGACCCACUGAGCAUCAGGUGUCUGUGGGACACCCAAAUGGCAAAGUUCAGGGGAGAGAAAUGGGCUACAGAUAGAGAUUUCAAAACCAUAGCCUCAUAGAUGGUAGCUAAAAGCCAUGACAUUGAAUGAGAUCAUCGUGAAAGAGUGUACUAAGUAGGAAAAGAAGAUUGACAAGGAUUGCGUAUGCCCUAGGGUUUAGGAUGUGCCUCCUGAUCAACCUGGUGAUUCACAAGAUUGGGCAGAGUGACCAGCUCUCAAGUGCUGUAAUGAUUAGAGGAGGCUGUGAACUUCUUUGGCCUCUCUUUUCCUAUACAGACACUAAUUGCAGCAUAGAAAGUCCAGUGAAUUACAGGUCAUUUGAGGCACCAUAGGGUUUACCCAGAUUUUAGCUGGUAUUUUAAAGAAGGGUAAAUUUUUUUAAAAAGGUAGGGGAGAUAGACAGAAAAUGGGUAAACAAUAUGAUAAUACCUGAAGGAGGCCUGGAGAUUACAGGGAUGGGUUUCUCUGAUAAGGAUAUGAUGCCUAGAGCUUAGGAUGGGGCCCACCCCUGUACUUUGCCACUACCCAGCUGUGCAACCAUGGGCAUUCACUUCCCCUCCCUGAGCCUCAGCUUCCUUUUUUUGUAAAAUAGAGAUAAUAAUAGUACUUUCAAAGGAGUUUGCCAAAAUCAAA